GCUAAUACCGCAUACGUCCUACGGGAGAAAGCAGGGGACCUUCGGGCCUUGCGCUAUCAGAUGAGCCUAGGUCGGAUUAGCUAGUUGGUGAGGUAAUGGCUCACCAAGGCGACGAUCCGUAACUGGUCUGAGAGGAUGAUCAGUCACACUGGAACUGAGACACGGUCCAGACUCCUACGGGAGGCAGCAGUGGGGAAUAUUGGACAAUGGGCGAAAGCCUGAUCCAGCCAUGCCGCGUGUGUGAAGAAGGUCUUCGGAUUGUAAAGCACUUUAAGUUGGGAGGAAGGGCAGUUACCUAAUACGUGAUUGUUUUGACGUUACCGACAGAAUAAGCACCGGCUAACUCUGUGCCAGCAGCCGCGGUAAUACAGAGGGUGCAAGCGUUAAUCGGAAUUACUGGGCGUAAAGCGCGCGUAGGUGGUUAGUUAAGUUGGAUGUG
rnacentral:rRNA from 1 species